CUUUCUUUGCUGGCGGCCGGCGCACGGGUGAGUAACACGUAUCCAACCUGCCCUUUACUCGGGGAUAGCCUUUCGAAAGAAAGAUUAAUACCCGAUAGUAUAAUGAUUCCGCAUGGUUUCAUUAUUAAAGGAUUCCGGUAAAGGAUGGGGAUGCGUUCCAUUAGGUUGUUGGUGAGGUAACGGCUCACCAAGCCUUCGAUGGAUAGGGGUUCUGAGAGGAAGGUCCCCCACAUUGGAACUGAGACACGGUCCAA
rnacentral:rRNA from 1 species